rnacentral:lncRNA from 1 species
CUUUUUUGGACACCUCAUCAAUAGCUUGAAAAAUAUGUAAAUGAUAAUGUACAACAAACAUUUUUCUUACCUACAUUGAGACAUUGAUCACUCUGUACCAUACAUGAAAGAAUCCUAUAACUACUAGUGGUAGAAAUGCAUGCCAUGUAUCAUCCAACUUACAAGCAAGAAUGUAUACUCUUCCUCCUUUUUCACUUAAUCGUCACCUUUUCUGCACGAAAAGAUUAUCAAUGCCGAGAAAGGGGUGGAGGAGCCUGACCGCCAACCUCAGGCUCGAAAUUGGUCAUUUUCAUUUUUAAACGAUUUAUUCUUUCGGAUAUUCAUAUAGCAAAGUAAUGUUGUAUACGUCUCUUUUCGGAUGAUAAAUAUAGCGUACUCUAUCUGAGCAAAAUCAUUUUGUGUAAUUAUAACAUCUAUGACCACUUGAAUCGCCAUAGAUUUGAUCAUACACAAAAUUCAGCUCUCUCUGUGUGAAUUAGAAAUCCAUCAGAACUGCCAAGUGAUCGUUAAUGCAUUUUGAAUCCCGGCAAAGUUCUCUACUUGUUGAUUUGCAACAGAGUUGGCACAAACAAAAGAACAACAAUUCCCUCUUGGAAGUCUUCCAGAUAUCAGCAUUCCAAUGCUGCUCAAGCUGAAGAGAAUUUUUUUACCUUGAUGCAUUUCACUUAAUAACUCGACUUAUUACAGUCAGUUUGAUCUUCGGUUCCAGAGCAUUAACAUUCCCUUUGACAUCUUUCAAGAAAGUCCUCAGGUAACCAUUGAUUACACGUGGCGCUGCCCCAUCACAGAACCGCUUUGCAAGGUCAACAGCCUUCAACAAAGUCAGAUGUGUUCUAACAGAUGUAAGCACAAAACUUUUAAAUAACUCUUCUUGCAUACAAGAGUUGUCCAAAUGCAUCAGUGAAACUCCAAAAAGAUCAAAGAAAGCAAGAAACCUUGUUUAUGACUAUUUGGUGCAGCGACCUUAGCACUGCUAUCUCAGACAUAGCUAGGUGAAGAAUUGAAGGCUCGGAAUUUUACCAGCCGGUUCAUUUUUUGUAAAAGAACCAAAAUAAAAUAAAAUAUAUGGGUUAGUCAGUAUUUUAAUAGUCCUAAAAAUGAGUUUGAGAACAAUUAUCACUGAAAUGUAGGAUAUUACUCUAGAACGAGCAUGGUAUUCUCGAGUAACAUUCUUAAAAUUAUUGAAUUGCAUAGACAUCACAUUCAAAAUGGAAUUAUGACACGUGAUUAAAUAUCAACACCAACUCCAAAAGAAUUGCAAAAUAAAAUUAUGAUAGGAAGGGGGUAGCAUAUGUUGUAAAAUUUUCACCGGAUUGGAGUAAAAAUCACGAAAUAGCAACACAAAUAACAAAACAAUCAUGAACUUGUAUCAAUGAAUGGUUUGAAUACAAUAUCGUUGUCUUCAAAUAAUAUUUGCCCAUUCUCCUAUAGAUUUGAGAUGAUUCGAAGGUUGUUGGCAAAUUAUUUGCAGAAUUAUAACAAGUUUUGCAAGAAUUUAAGCACCAAAGCAAGAGUGCAAAUCCUAGAAAACUUGAAGAACACAAGGGAUGAAUGUUGAAUGUGGAUUUAAAAGACUUUGAUCUUUGAUUUUGGAAGUAAUAUGGAAC